rnacentral:lncRNA from 1 species
UGCUGGAUAAUUCUACCACAAGUCAUCCAGAAUGAGGACUUUCUCAUUCUCGGGGUAUUCCAAAUCAGCAAGCUUAUUGGGGCAACUGGCGGUGAAGGGGAUCCUCACCAGUAUCCCCCUCCAUCUGGGUGUUAACCUCUGUCCUUAUAGCCAUUGAAUCCACAGCGGAUGGACUCCUCUCUGCCCUCUGAAUGGCCUACCUC